rnacentral:lncRNA from 1 species
AAGUAGAGAGCAAUUGCAAGUGAGUUCUUUGAGAGAAAUUGAUAGAGCUUCCACUUGAGUGUUCUAGUGAGGUUCCAUUUGGGUGUAUUGGGGUUGUGGGUUUUGUGAGUUUUUCCCACUUUUGUAAAUUCCAAUUUGUUAGUAAAAUUAUCUUCCAAUUUUUUCCCGUAGACGUAGGCAUUACGCCGAACCACGUAAUUUAUUGUGUCCUAUUUUCUUUGCAUUUGUUUAUCACCACAUUUAUAUUUCUCUAGAAGUUACAGUAUUAGUAAUUGCUCAACCCACGUUUCCGCAACAAGUGGUAUCAGAGCCGACGGUUCGUACUUGGGGGGAUACGAUACUAUUCACGUAUACGGUACUGUUCACAUAUACGGUACUAUUUCUAUAUACGGUACUGUUCACAAAUACGGUGGAGACAAUCAUUUAUACUUGGGAGACAGUCUAUUGUAAGUAGUGUGUAUUUUUGCAUGUCUAGGAAAGUUCUGUCAACAAAGGCGAUAAAAGUCUAAGGAUUCUGGUUUUUAAUUGGGACCGAGUUCCCGUCCAGUCUCCUGGGAACUUUCCCGGUGCAUUUAUUCACGCGAAAUAAACAUCAUAGAGGCUGUUUUUUAAGUGUAAAUAGUUGUUGCAGAAACUGAUCAUUUGAGAUAAAAAGGAUGACAAAGGCAUCGUCGUUGUCUUCAUCAGUGAGAACUACUGUGACUAAUGCAAAGUUUGAAGUGAAGAAAUUCGAUGGUACCAAUAAUUUUGGUAUAUGGCAAUGUGAGGUGUUGGAUGUCUUAUGUCAACAAGAGUUGGACGUUGCUCUUGAAGAAAAGCCUGACGUGAUGGAUGACAAGGAAUGGAUAAAAAUCAAUAGACAGGCAUGUGGUACUAUUCGCCUAUGUCUGGCUAAAGAUCAGAAAUACUCUGUCAUGAGGGAGACAUCGGCAAAGAAAUUGUGGGAGACACUGGAAGAAAAGUAUAUGAAGAAAAGUCUUGAAAAUAGGCUUUAUAUGAAAAAGAAACUCUAUCGAUUUACAUAUACACAUGGCAUGUCAAUGAAUGACCACGCGAACUCAUUCAACAAGAUAUUAGCGGAUUUGCUAAAUCUGGAUGAGAGAUUUGAAGAUGAAGAUAAGGCAUUGUUGUUGUUGAAUUCACUUCCUGAUAAAUAUGAUCAUCUCACCACCACUUUGCUUCAUGGGAAGGACAGUGUCACGUUCGAUGCUGUAUGCAGUGCAUUGUACAACUCUGAGACCAGAAAGAAAGAUAGAAAGGAUCACAGAGAUACAGUUACAGAAGCACUGACAGCGAGAGGUCGUUCGCAAAGCCGCAAACCUGGAAAAAGGAACAAGUCUAAAGGGAGACCUGCUAAAGAUGAAUGUGCCUUUUUGUCGCGAGAAAGGGCAUUGGAAAAAGAAUUGUCCUAAGUUACAAAAGGGCAAGGCUACUUCUGAUGCAUGUGUAGCAGAGCAUGAUGAGGAGUCAGACUUUAGUCUGGUUGGCAUGACAUUGAUAUGUCACUCAGAUGAGUGGAUUUUGGAUUCAGGUUGUACUUAUCAUAUGUGUCCUAACAAGGGCUGGUUUUUAACUUCAAGGAGCUAGACGGUGGAGUUGUUUUUAUGGGCAAUGACAAUGCUUGUAAAACCAUGGGAAUAGGUACAAUCCAAUUAAAGAAUCAUGAUGGCUCAAUUCAAGUUUUGACAGAUGUUCGUUAUGUACCAAGCUUGAAGAAAAAUCUCAUCUCAUUAGGAGUCCUAGAAUCUAAAGGGCUCACAAUCACUUUAAGAUAUGGAUUGUUGAAGGUAGUAGCUGGGGCGCUGACGGUAAUGAAAGGCACAAGAAGAAAUAACUUGUACUAUUUCCAAGGAAGUACAGUUAUUGGAUCAGCAUCAAUAGUUUCUGGAAAAGAUGCAGAUUUAGAAGCAACCAAGUUGUGGCAUAUGCGUUUGGGACAUACUGGUGAAAAAGCUUUGCAGACUUUAGCGAAGCAAGGCUUAUUGAAAGGUACAAAUUCUUGCAAAUUAGAAUUUUGUGAACAUUGUGUUCUGGGCAAGCAGACAAGGGUAAAGUUUGGUUCAGCAAUUCAUGAUACAAAAGGAAUUCUGGACUAUGUUCACAGUGAUGUGUGGGGACUUACCAAAACAGCUUCUUUGGGAGGUAUGCACUAUUUUGUUACUUUUGUUGAUGAUUAUUCAAGAAAAGUGUGGGUGUAUUUGAUGAAGAACAAAAAUGAAGUUUUGGGCAUAUUUCUGAAAUGGAAGAAAAUGGUCGAGACUCAGACUGGUCGAAAGAUCAAAAGACUUCGCUCAGACAAUAGUGGUGAGUACAAGAAUGAUCCAUUUCUUCAAAUAUGCCAAGAUGAGGGUAUUGUGCGACAUUUCACUGUUCGAGAUACACCACAACAGAAUGGGGUGGUAGAACGCAUGAACCGGACUAUACUGGAGAAAGUUCGGUGUAUGUUGUCCAAUGCUGGAUUGGGCAAAGAGUUUUGGGCUGAGGCAGUUGUAUAUGCGUGCCAUCUGAUCAACCGUUUGCCAUCAACUGCAAUUGAGGGUAGAACACCCAUGGAGAUGUGGACUGGUAAACCUACUACUGAUUAUAAUUCUUUACAUGUUUUUGGUUGCACUGUUUAUUAUCAUGUAAAAGAAUCUAAGUUAGACCCAAGAGCAAAUAAAGCAUUCUUCAUGAGUAUAAUUGGUGGAGUAAAAGGAUACCGUCUCUGGUGUCCUAUUACGAAGAAGAUUAUUUUCAGUAGAGAUGUAACUUUUGAUGAAUCAGCCAUGUUGAAACAAAAAGAUUCUCAAGAGGAUGACAAGACCAGUAGCACUUUGCAGUAGGUGGAGUUUGAAAAAGUUAAAACUGAUCCAGCUGGUGUCGAUGAGAUGGAUAAUGAUUAUCCAUCGACUAAUGAUGAUGAAGAGGUUCUGACCCAGGAACCUUCACAACAACAAGAUUCAAUUGCAUAUAGAAGGCCACGCAGAGAGAUUCACAGACCUGCUCGCUUUGUUGAUAUGGUGGCCUAUGCACUUCCAAUUGUAGAUGAUGAUGUUCCUUCCACUUAUAGAGAAGCAGUAAGUAACCCAGAAAAUAUACAGUGGAAGAAAGCAAUGAACGAAGAAAUGCAAUCUCUUCACAAAAAUGAAACUUGGGAGUUAGUUACACUGCCCAAGGAAAAAAAGGCGAUUGGGUGCAAAUGGGUAUAUGCAAAAAAAGGAAGGAUUUCCUCGUAAAAAUUAAAUUCGAUACAAGGCUAGAUUGGUAGCAAAGGGUUACGCUCAGAAGGAAGGAAUAGACUAUAAUGUGGUAUUUUCUCCAGUUGUGAAACACUCGUUUAUUCGAAUUUUGCUAGCCAUGGUUGCACAAUUUGAUCUUGAACUAGUUCAACUUGAUGUAAAAAUUGCAUUUUUACAUGGUGAUUUAGAAGAGGAAAUAUACAUUACUCAGCCAGAUGGAUUCAAGGUUGCUGGAAAAGAAAAUUGGGUUUGCAAAUUGACAAAGUCGCUUUAUGGGUUAAGGAAGGAAUAGACUACAAUGAGGUAUUUUCUCCAGUUGUGAAACAUUCGUCUAUUCGAAUUUUGCUAGCCAUGGUUGCACAAUUUGAUCUUGAACUAGUUCAACUUGAUGUAAAAACUGUAUUUUUACAUGGUAAUUUGGAAGAGGAAAUCUAAAUGACUCAGCCAGAUGGAUACAAGGUUGCUGGAAAAGAAAAUUGGGUUUGCAAAUUGACAAAGUCGCUUUAUGGGUUGAAACAAUCUCCGAGGCAGUGGUACAAGCGAUUUGAUCAAUUUAUGAAAGGGCAAAAGUACACAAGAAACAAAUUUGAUCAUUGUGUGUAUUUUCGCAAGCUACAAGAAGGAUCUUUCAUUUAUUUGCUAUUGUAUGUCGAUGAUAUGCUAAUAGCAUCGAAGAGCAAAUAUGAGAUAGAGAAGUUGAAAACUCAACUCAACCAAGAGUUUUAGAUGAAAGAUCUGGGUGAAGCUAAGAAGAUUCUUGGCAUGGAAAUAUGCAGAGAUAGAGCUCGUGGUAAAGUAAGCUUGUCUCAGAAGCAAUAUUUGAAUAAGGUACUACAACAGUUUGGUAUGAUUGAGCAAACAAAACCUGUGAGUACCCCGUUGGCUUCUCAUUUUAAGCUUUCUGCACAAUUAUCUCCUUCAAUAGAUGCAGAACGAGAAUACAUGUUACAAGUUCCGUAUUCAAAUGCAGUGGGUAGCUUGAUGUAUGCAAUGGUGUGUACGAGGCCUGACAUUUCACAUGCAGUUGGUAUAGUGAGCAGAUAUAUGCAUAAUCCUGGUAAAGGACAUUGGCAAGCUGUGAAAUGGAUUCUACGGUAUAUUAAGAAGACCAUGGAUGUUGAUUUACUGUUUGAAAGAGACGAUACACUUGGUCAAGGUGUGAUCGGGUACGUUGAUUCUGAUUAUGCUAGUAAUUUGGACAAACGACGGUCAACCACCGACUUUUAAGAGGCUAUUUAGUUACAAGGUUUGCUUGAAAACUUGGGAUUGGCACAGGAGCACAUUAAUGUGUAUUGCGAUAGUCAGAGUGCUAUUCACUUAACGAAGAACCAAGUUUAUCAUGCGCGUACGAAGCACAUCGAUGUACGAUUUCACUUUGUGCGGGAAAUUGUUAAUGAGGGGAAAAUUCUUUUUCAGAAAAUCAAGACUGCAGAGAACCCCGCAGAUAUGUUCACUAAGGUGGUGACGACGAUCAAGUUUGAGCAUUGUCUAAACUUGAUCAACAUCCUACAAGUUUAAGAGGUUGGUGGCACAAAUAUUUGACAAGUUGUUGCCAUGCAUGCAUUCAACUUUGGAGAAGCAAAUUUGAAGACAAAUUCACAAGGUAGGUGCCUAAUUUAUGUUGACAACUUUGUUGGGGUUUGUGCAAUAGUGCACCCCAUUUUUCUUUAUAAAUAGAAGGCAAUUCCUCAUUUGUUAAUCAUCCCAACUUGAGAGAAGUAGAGAGCAAUUGCAAGUGAGUUCUUUGAGAGAAAUUGAUAGAGCUUCCACUUGAGUGUUCUAGUGAGGUUCCAUUUGGGUGUAUUGGGGUUGUGGGUUUUGUGAGUUUUUCCCACUUUUGUAAAUUCCAAUUUGUUAGUAAAAUUAUCUUCCAAUUUUUGCCCGUGGACGUAGGCAUUACGCCGAACCACGUAAUUUAUUGUGUCCUAUUUUCUUUGCAUUUGUUUAUCACCACAUUUAUAUUUCUCUAGAAGUUACAGUAUUAGUAAUUGCUCAACCCACGUUUCCGCAAC